AUUGAACGCUGGCGGCAGGCCUAACACAUGCAAGUCGAGCGAGUGGCGGACGGGUGAGGAAUGUCUGGGAAACUGCCUGUUGGAGGGGGAUAACUACUGGAAAAGGUAGCUAAUACCGCAUACCAUCAGAUGUGCCCAGAUGGGAUUAGCUAGUAGGUGGGGUAACGGCUCACCUAGGCGACGAUCCCUAGCUGGUCUGAGAGGAUGACCAGCCACACUGGAACUGAGACACGGUCCAGACUCCUACGGGAGGCAGCAGUGGGGAAUAUUGGACAAUGGGCGAAAGCCUGAUGGAGCAAUGCCGCGUGUGUGAAGAAGGCCUUCGGGUUGUAAAGCACUUUCAGCGGGGAGGCGUUACCCGCAGAAGAAGCACCGGCUAACUCCGUGCCAGCAGCCGCGGUAAUAC
rnacentral:rRNA from 1 species